rnacentral:rRNA from 2 species
AGAGGAAGUAAAAGUCGUAACAAGGUUUCCGUAGGUAAGUUAUAUCGAAUAUCUCUCUGCUGUUUCGUGGCCAUUGCUAACUGUAAUUUAGGUGAACCUGCGGAAGGAUCAUUA